rnacentral:lncRNA from 1 species
AGUUGAGAAAUUAAAUAAUGUAUUUCCAUGGACUAUCAUGCUAUUUUCUUAAAGGUAUUUUCAACAGCAGAAUUCACAACUCUGUAGAUUGAAGGAUCGCCUUGAGAAAAAAAGCUCAGCUUUCAAACAGUGCUGGUCAUCCCUGAGCAUUUCCUGAUCACCCUUUGCUACAGAGAUCUGCUCAUCAUAUUUCAUUAUCAAAUGCCAGACUUGACUGACUUCAUUCCAGGCAGCUGCUUCAUACAGGAAUGGUGAUAGUGGAGCAGUGAAGACCUCUCUAAAGGCUGGAAAAACCCCAUAGAAAAUAGCUGGAAAUAUCUGCUUGGAAGAUAAGAACUUAGCCUAAGAAGAGAAAAAAAACCCCAAAUCUGCAAAUCUGAAGAAAUGGGAAUGACGGGAGGGGGCCAAGAG